GUUUCUCUUUCAUUAGUCGCCAUUUGAUUUAAUGCGGAAGAACGAGACACUUGUAUUUCAAAGACUCUGCGUUUGUUUUUCUAUUGAAAAGUGGUGAAAAUGAAGGUUCUCUUCAUAUUGAUUUUAGUAUGUUCAUUUUUACUCGACCAAGGUGUGUCUGAUGCUGGUUCAGAUGGAGUCUCAAUGUCAGUGAAGGAGGGAGAAUCAGUCACUCUACACACUGGUGUUAAAAAUUAACCAUCAAAAACAGAAUGGUGUGGUAUUUUAAUGACAUCCGGAUUGCUCACUUCAUUGGAGUUCUGAAGAUCUGUACUGAUGAACAGUGUAAAGAGAGAUUCAAAAACAGACUGAAGCUGGACAAUCAGAGUGGAUCUCUGACCAUCAUGAACACUAGAACCACAGACUCUGGAACUCUAUAAACUACUGAUAGGCGGCAGCAGCAGUGGAAAUAUCUUCAGUGUUUCUGUCACUGGUGUUUCUGCUGCUGAACAAGACGGAAUAGAGAGAAAGUCAGUGAAGAAGGGAGAAUCUGUCACUUUACAUCCUGGUACAAUGAAAAACCCAAAUGAUUCAAAGAUGUGGUAUUUUAAUGAUACUUCUAUCGCUGAAAUCACUGGAUCUGAGAGAAAGAUCUUGGUGAUAU